GGGGAAUUUUGGACAAUGGGGGCAACCCUGAUCCAGCCAUGCCGCGUGAGUGAAGAAGGCCUUCGGGUUGUAAAGCUCUUUCAGACGGAAAGAAAUCGCAUCCUCUAAUACGGGGUGUGGAUGACGGUACCGUAAGAAGAAGCACCGGCUAACUACGUGCCAGCAGCCGCGGUAAUACGUAGGGUGCGAGCGUUAAUCGGAAUUACUGGGCGUAAAGCGUGCGCAGGCGGUGAUGUAAGACAGAUGUGGAAUCCCCGGGCUCAACCUGGGAACUGCGUUUGUGACUGCAUCACUCGAGUACGGCAGAGGGAGGUGGAAUUCCACGUGUAGCAGUGAAAUGCGUAGAGAUGUGGAGGAACACCGAUGGCGAAGGCAGCCUCCUGGGCCAGUACUGACGCUCAUGCACGAAAGCGUGGGGAGCAAAC
rnacentral:rRNA from 1 species